rnacentral:rRNA from 1 species
CGGAGGUGGCAAGCGUUACUCGGAAUUAUUGGGUGUAAAGGGCAAGUAGGUGGCUUGGUAAGUGAGAGGUGAAAUACUCCGGCUCAAUCGGAGAACUGCCUUUCAAACUGCCUUGCUUGAGGAUGACAGGGGGAAAUGGAAUUCCAGGUGUAAGGGUGAAAUCUGUAGAUAUCUGGAAGAACACCAGCGGCGAAGGCGAUUUCCUGGGUCACUCCUGACACUGAAUUGCGAAAGCUAGGGGAGCAAACAGAAUUAGAUACUCUGGUAGUCCUAGCCGUAAACGAUGAGCACUAGGUGUUGGUCCCGUUAGGGAUCAGUGCCGCAGCUAACGCAUUAAGUGCUCCACCUGAGGACUACGGUCGCAAGGCUA